AUUGAACGCUGGCGGCAGGCCUAACACAUGCAAGUCGAGCGGAUGAAGGGAGCUUGCUCCUGGAUUCAGCGGCGGACGGGUGAGUAAUGCCUAGGAAUCUGCCUGGUAUGGGGGGAUAACGUGCGGAAACGGGCGCUAAUACCGCAUACGUCCUGAGGGAGAAAGUGGGGGAUCUUCGGACCUCACGCUAUCAGAUGAGCCUAGGUCGGAUUAGCUAGUUGGUGGGGUAAAGGCCUACCAAGGCGACGAUCCGUAACUGGUCUGAGAGGAUGAUCAGUCACACUGGAACUGAGACACGGUCCAGACUCCUACGGGAGGCAGCAGUGGGGAAUAUUGGACAAUGGGCGAAAGCCUGAUCCAGCCAUGCCGCGUGUGUGAAGAAGGUCUUCGGAUUGUAAAGCACUUUAAGUUGGGAGGAAGGGCAGUAAGUUAAUACCUUGCUGUUUUGACGUUACCAACAGAAUAAGCACCGGCUAACUUCGUG
rnacentral:rRNA from 1 species